AUUGAACGCUGGCGGCAUGCCUAACACAUGCAAGUCGAACGAGUGGCGGACGGGUGAGUAAUGUCUGGGAACCUGCCUGAUGGAGGGGGAUAACUACUGGAAACGGUAGCUAAUACCGCAUACCAUCGGAUGUGCCCAGAUGGGAUUAGCUAGUGGGUGGGGUAAAGGCUCACCUAGGCGACGAUCCCUAGCGGGUCUGAGAGGAUGACCAGCCACACUGGAACUGAGACACGGUCCAGACGCCUACGGGAGGCAGCAGUGGGGAAUAUUGCACAAUGGGCGCAAGCCUGAUACAGCAAUGCCGCGUGUAUGAAGAAGGCUUUCGGGUUGUAAAGUACUGUCAGCGGGGAGGCGGUACCCGAAGAAGAAGCAACGGCUAACUACGUGCCAGCAGCCGCGGUAAUUC
rnacentral:rRNA from 1 species